rnacentral:rRNA from 1 species
UACGUAGGGGGCAAGCGUUGUCCGGAAUCAUUGGGCGUAAAGAGCGUGUAGGCGGCUCGGUAAGUCCGCUCUGAAAGCCCGGGGCUCAACCCCGGGAGGCGGGCGGAUACUGUCGAGCUAGAGUCCGGAAGAGGCGAGUGGAAUUCCUGGUGUAGCGGUGAAAUGCGUAGAGAUGCGGAGGAACACCGAUGGCGAAGGCAGCCCCCUGGGCUAAGACUGACGCUGAGGCACGAAAGCGUGGGGAGCAAACAGG